AUUGCCCAGGAAUCUUGUUAAAAGGCAGAUUCUGAUUCAGUAGGUCUGGAAUGGGGCCAAGAUUCUGCAUUUCUAACAAGCUCCCAGGUGAUUAGAA
rnacentral:pre_miRNA from 1 species